rnacentral:rRNA from 1 species
CCUACGGGGGGCUGCAGUAGGGAAUAUUGGGCAAUGGGCGAAAGCCUGACCCAGCCAUGCCGCGUGAAUGAUGAAGGCCUUAGGGUUGUAAAGUUCUUUCGUUGGUGAAGAUAAUGACGGUAACCAAAGAAGAAGCCCCGGCUAACUUCGUGCCAGCAGCCGCGGUAAUACGAAGGGGGCUAGCGUUGUUCGGAAUUACUGGGCGUAAAGCGCAUGUAGGCGGUCAUUCAAGCCAGGGGUGAAAUCCCGAAGCUCAACUUCGGAAUUGCCUUUGG